UUUAGGUUGGAGAUUGUGGAAUAUCAAGAAUCAAUCACAAUACUUUGGUAUCUGGUUCUGUGUGAGGAAAGCUUCCAUGGAUGACACCAGAAUUGUUGAACGGUAGCAGUAGCCGGGUUUCUGAAGAAGGUUGCUGAGAUUGUUGCUAACUUCAUUGUGAAGGGUUCUGGUAUUCCAGCAAGGUCGUAGUUCAGGCAUAUCAUCAGGCAAUUGCAAGUCAUGGCUCCCCAGUCCAACAACACAGCCAAAGCUAUAGCAAUAGCACUAAGGAUGAAGGCAUUGCAAAUG